rnacentral:rRNA from 1 species
UAUGUGAUCGUCUCUCGCAUAUCAAUAAGCGGAGGAAAAGAAACUAACAAGGAUUCCCCUAGUAACGGCGAGUGAAGCGGGAAGAGCUCAAAUUUGAAAUCUUAAAGGGUUUCCCUUUACGAAUUGUAGUUUAAAGAAGUGUUUUCUGUUGAGGUAUUGGUAAAAGUUCUUUGGAAUAGGACAUCAUAGAGGGUGAGAAUCCCGUAUUUGACCUUUACUUUCCAACUUUGUGAUACACUUUCAAAGAGUCGGAUUGUUUGGGAAUGCAGUCCAAAAUGGGUGGUAAAUUUCAUCUAAAGCUAAAUAUUGGCGAGAGACCGAUAGCGAACAAGUACCGUGAGGGAAAGAUGAAAAGAACUUUGAAAAGAGAGUUAAACAGUACGUGAAAUUGUCAAAAGGGAAGCGUUUGACACCAGUGUUGUUUUUCUGAAAAUCAAUUAAAGAACUGUUUAUGCUAAGUUGUUUAGACUUUAUCAGCUAUCUGCUUAGUUUUGAGCUUUUCUUUAAUGCACUUUUCAGUUAACAAGUCAACAUCAAUUUCUUUUGCUGUAAAAAAGCUUGAGGAAGGUGGCUUGAGAUUCGUCUUAAGUGUUUAUAGCCUCUUGCCUAUGCAGUCGGAGAGAUUGAGGUCUGCAGCGUAGAUCCUUCGGGGCUAAAUGCAUUUGUGCUAAGUUAUAGCAUUUUAUAGACAACUUGUUGACUAUGAUUUGUCUUGUAGCUUACUCGCUUAUGUUAUUUUACCUACGCUUAGGAUGUUGAGUAGCGACAUACGCAC